rnacentral:misc_RNA from 1 species
AACGCACCUUGCGCUUCUUGGUAUUCCUAGAAGCAUGUCUGUUUGAGGGUCUUUAAAUUUUUCAAAUUUCACCGGCGCUUGCUGGUUCAAUUUGGAUUGUGGGCGAUGCAGAUCUCGGUGGUCUGCUCGUCUCAAACGUGUUAGCAGAAGUCUUUUUGACUGCUCGUCGUUGGUAUGAUAAUUGUCUAUGCCAUUUGACGAUCGUCAGUUUUUCGCUCCGCGAGCGUGGUCUUCUGCUCCCAAUCGUCCUGGUUCGGACAGCGACUUGAUUAUUGGACCUCAAAUCAGACAGGAUUACCCGCUGAACUUAA